ACGGGAGGCAGCAGUGAGGAAUAUUGGUCAAUGGACGAGAGUCUGAACCAGCCAAGUAGCGUGCAGGAUGACGGCCCUAUGGGUUGUAAACUGCUUUUGUACGGGAAUAAAGUGACCUACGUGUAGGUUUUUGCAUGUACCGUAAGAAUAAGGACCGGCUAAUUCCGUGCCAGCAGCCGCGGUAAUACGGAAGGUCCGAGCGUUAUCCGGAUUUAUUGGGUUUAAAGGGUGCGCAGGCGGAGAUGCAAGCCAGCCGUAAAAUCGUGGGGCUCAACCCCAUUCAGCGGUUGGAACUUCAUCCCUUGAUUGCGGCAGAGGGAGGUGGAACUCGUGGUGUAGCGGUGAAAUGCAUAGAUAUCACGAAGAACUCCGAUUGCGAAGGCAGCCUCCUGGACCGUAAAUGACGCUCAUGCACGAAGGCGCGGGUAUCAAACAGGAUUAGAUACCCUGGUA
rnacentral:rRNA from 1 species